GAGUUUGAUCCUGGCUCAGGAUGAACGCUAGCGGCAGGCCUAAUACAUACAAGUCGAGGGGUAAGUCAGAAGCUUGCUUUUGACACGACCGGCGCACGGGUGCGUAACGCGUAUGCAAUCUACCCUGUACUAAGGGAUAGCGCGGGGAAACCCGGAUUAAUACCUUAUAGUAUCACAGAUAGGCAUCUUGAAGUGAUUAAAGAUUUAUCGGUACAGGAUGAGCAUGCGUCUGAUAGUAGUGGUGAGGUAACGGCUCACCAAGACGAUGAUCAGUAGGGUUCUGAGAGAUGAUCCCCCCU
rnacentral:rRNA from 1 species